AACGAACGCUGGCGGCAUGCCUAACACAUGCAAGUCGAACGAAACCUUCGGGUCUAGUGGCGCACGGGUGCGUAACGCGUGGGAACCUGCCCUUAGGUUCGGAAUAACUCCCCGAAAGGGGUGCUAAUACCGGAUAAUCUCCUCGGACCAAAGAUUUAUCGCCUUUGGAUGGGCCCGCGUUGGAUUAGCUAGUUGGUAGGGUAAAAGCCUACCAAGGCGACGAUCCAUAGCUGGUCUGAGAGGAUGAUCAGCCACACUGGGACUGAGACACGGCCCAGACUGCUACGGGAGGCAGCAGUGGGGAAUAUUGGACAAUGGGCGAUAGCCUGAUCCAGCAAUGCCGCGUAAGUGAUGAAGGCCGUAGGGUUGUAAAGCUCUUUUACCCGGGAUGAUAAUGACAGUAACGGGAGAAUAAGCUCCGGCUAACUCCGUG
rnacentral:rRNA from 1 species